AUUGAACGCUGGCGGCAUGCUUUACACAUGCAAGUCGAGCGGCAGCGCGGGGCAACCUGGCGGCGAGCGGCGGACGGGUGAGUAAUAGAUAGGGACGUAUCCGGGAGUGGGGGAUAACUAGCCGAAAGGUUAGCUAAUACCGCAUAUUCCCUACGGAGGAAAGCAGGGGACUCCUAAACCGGGGGCAUCUGAGGGUGGGGUGUUUCAGGUUUAGGGGCCUUGCGCUCGCGGAGUGGCCUAUCUCCGAUUAGCUAGUUGGUGGGGUAAAGGCUUACCAAGGCGACGAUCGGUAGCUGGUCUGAGAGGAUGAUCAGCCACACUGGGACUGAGACACGGCCCAGACUCCUACGGGAGGCAGCAGUGGGGAAUUUUGGACAAUGGGGGCAACCCUGAUCCAGCCAUGCCGCGUGCGGGAAGAAGGCCUUCGGGUUGUAAACCGCUUUUAUUCGGGAAGAAGGAGUAGGGGUUAAUACCCUCUAUGA
rnacentral:rRNA from 1 species